AACGAACGCUGGCGGCAUGCCUAACACAUGCAAGUCGAACGAGACCUUCGGGUCUAGUGGCGCACGGGUGCGUAACGCGUGGGAACCUGCCCUUAGGUUCGGAAUAACUCCCCGAAAGGGGUGCUAAUACCGGAUAAUGUCUUCGGACCAAAGAUUUAUCGCCUUUGGAUGGGCCCGCGUUGGAUUAGCUAGUUGGUAGGGUAAAAGCCUACCAAGGCGACGAUCCAUAGCUGGUCUGAGAGGAUGAUCAGCCACACUGGGACUGAGACACGGCCCAGACUCCUACGGAAGGCAGCAGAGGGGAAUAUUGGACAAUGGGCGAAAGCCUGAUCCAGCUAUGCCGCGUGAGUGAUGAAGGCCUUAGGGUUGUAAAGCUCUUUUACCCGGGAUGAUAAUGACAGUACCGGGAGAAUAAGCUCCGGCUAACUCCGUG
rnacentral:rRNA from 1 species